AUGGGGGUGUGGCAGGAGAUGCGGGGCGCACGAUGGGGGACGCGGGACGGGGGCAGGUCAAGGACGAGGGUGCGGGACGGUGACGGAAGGGGCCGGUGCCGCGGCCGUGCCGAGCCGUGCCGGGCCGUGCCGAGCCGUGCCGGCGGCUCCCCCGCCCCGGUGUCGGCGCGCAGGUGCGGCGGGCGCGGCGGAGGCCCCGCCCCGGCCCUCCCGCCGGUGCCGCCCGGUGCCGCCCCGCGGCCGCACUCGCCGGCGGCGCCUCCCCGUGCGCACCGCACCGCUCCGCACCGCGCCCGCUCCCCCCGGCGCUGCGGCAGCAUGCGGGGCUGCGGCGGGCGCCGCGCCCUGCUGGCACUGCUGGCCCUGCUCCUGCCCGCCGCCGCCGCCGGCCCCGGGCCCGCCGCCGGCCCCGCCACCGGCCCCGGGCCCGCCGCGGCGGGGGAGAGCCCCGGCAAUUUCAUGGAGGACGAGCAGUGGCUCUCGUCCAUCUCCCAGUACGGCGGCAGGAUCAAGCACUGGAACCGCUUCCGAGACGUGAGUCCGCGCCGGCGGCGGGGCGGGGGGGACGGGACGCGCUGCCGGGCACCGGGAGCCCCCUCCCCGCCUCCCCGCGCUCCCCGCCCGCCGCUGCGGCUGCCGCAGCGCGACCCUCCCCGGCCUCGGCCCCACGGCGGUGCCCGCAUGCCGCCGCGGCCGUGGGCGGCUGCCGGCCCCGGUGCCCGGGGAUGCUCCGCGGCCCCGGUACCCGGGGGAUGCUCACCGGCUCCGGCAGCGCCGCCGCCUCCCUGCCCGACGCCAAAGCUGCGUGGCCAGGGCUUGAUGCCAAAGCGACCGUCUCCGGUGACCGGGGGUGCUGUCUGUGCCCCGCACCCUCUGCCCGUGCCCCACAUGGGGGUGCAGGCGGGGCUGCGCUGUGGCCUGGAGCCCUCGGUGAGAGCGCAGGGCACGGGCAUCCCCCGGGACUGCGCUCCCCGAGCCCUCCGGGUGCCUCCGGAGCCCGCGCGGUGCCGCAGCCGGGGCCGGCGCUGCCUCGGCGGGUGGUGA
rnacentral:lncRNA from 1 species